rnacentral:rRNA from 1 species
CAGUCGCCGCGGUAAUGCGAAGGGGGCUAGCGUUGAUCGGAAUGACUGGGCGUAAAGCGCACGUAGGCGGUUAUUCAAGUCAGAGGUGAAAGCCCGGGGCUCAACCCCGGAACUGCCUUUGAAACUAGAUGACUAGAAUCUUGGAGAGGUCAGUGGAAUUCCGCGUGUAGAGGUGAAAUUCGUAGAUAUUCGGAAGAACACCAGUGGCGAAGGCGACUUACUGGACAAGUAUUGACGCUGAGGUGCGAAAGCGUGGGGAGCAAACAGGAUUAGAUACCCCGGUAGUCCCUGUCUCUUAUAC